AUGACUCAGGGGGACGAUAAGACCCUAUAAAGCUUGACAAUAACUUAGUUAAAUUAUAAAUUGUUAGUAUAACUUGAUUUUAGCCAGGGUUUGUUUCGUUGGGGCGACGGGAAUAUAAUGAAUAACUGUUCUUUUAAAUAUAAUUACAAAGAUAAUUGGUGAGCGAUUGAUCCUCUAAUAGAGAUUAAAAGAUAAAGUUACUUUAGGGAUAACAGCGUAAUCUUCUUUGAGAGUCCACAUCGACAAGAAGGUUUGCGACCUCGAUGUUGAAUUAAGGUAUCCUUAUAAUGCAGCAGUUAUAAAGGAGGGUCUGUUCGACCUUUAAAUCCUUACGUGAUCUGAGUCCAGAACCGGA
rnacentral:rRNA from 1 species